GAUGCUGUGUCCUCUCCGGGGUGUUUCACUCCUUCCGGCAGAACUUUUGCAUCUCCCCUGCUCUACCUCUGGACCUUGUUCUUUAUUUCUUCCUUGACACAUUUUCCUUCAUAGCAAAAGGAUGAAGAUCACCUUUGGGUUCACCUGCAAGAGCAAAAGCCACAACAGAUCGUGAUGUGCCACAACAACCGGCUCAUCGGAUCCUAUGAGAAGCUGGGCUGUCAAAGAGAGAGACCAGACCAGACGUGGGUACAAUGUGAAGAAUAUCUGAAGUGGAGGAAGCUUCCUGACCAGGUUGACCCUACCAUUGUUACCAGAAAGCUCCUUUUGUCGUCUCCAUCCCCUCCCCAAAUACAGAAGCUGUUUGGCACCUGAGGAGCAGGAAUACAGUGAUGAGGAGAAGAGGCCCAGAUACAGACGGAAAUGCCAGAAAGGGGAGCUGGACACAGAGAACAGGAGGAGACUGUCAUCAUCAUUUGUGGAGACCAUGGGACAGCAAGUGAGGCAAGAGGGAGAAGACUUGCAGGAGCCAGCACAAGGAAAGCCUUGAUGCGUGGUGCUGCAGGGCUUGGCAGGCUCUCAGCCCUGCCUCACUGUUACCCGUGUUUCCUCCUGCCAAGAGAGAUGCCAAGACGUGAAGAUGUUGCAGCAUCAUAUAAAAUGAGACUUUGAUUCUUGUUUGUGUCCAGCUUGGACACGCUCAAAACUCUUAACAGUAACAGGGAUCAGGGCAGGUCCGGUGCCUGCGCUCAAUCCUACCUUGUCCGCCCAGUCCUAGUAUGUUCCUUUCUGCCUCCCGUGGCUAGAAGAGGAUG